rnacentral:lncRNA from 1 species
GCUUAAUUGCCUGCAGCUGGGGGCAGUGCCGGAUCCUUCUGUACAAGGGUUAUUGCCUGAGUAGGGGAGUGGUUUGAUCGAUGUCUGAUGCUGCUUGGUUUUAGUUUUCUAUCUCUUUGCUUCAGUAGUUUUAUACAUAUAUACAUAUAUCUAUGUAGUCUUUAAGAGAGUUGGUUAGUUUACGUACUAGAGGACGAUAGACUUCUAUCCAGCUAUUGGAGAGAGGAGAGCACAGAUUUCCUUACUUGCGUUGCUAGCUUCCAGCUGGCCUUAGAUCUUUUCAUGAGUCUGUCCACAAGAGCAACAAGCCUUUUUCAGCUGCCUGUGUGAUAUGAUAGUACAAUGUCAUGAUCUUGCCCAGGAUGACUUUACAACAAAGGAAUUCUUUAUAAAUGCUUCAGAGUGCCUAACAUACUCAGCCUUCCGCUGGAGCCUCUGAAAAGUUUUGUAAUGUAGGUGGUGUGCAGGAACAGGUAUGAGGAAACCAGGGUGACGUCCUCUGUGGAAUCCUCCUGUACUAAAACAGUAUUUUGCCUGUGCUAGAACCAGAUGCUGCUUUUGCUGGAGUUGGUUUACAGGGUUAUAUGAUAUUACUGAUGAGAUUUAUCAGAUUAUUACUUGCCUUGGAAAGAAGAGGAAGAUUGCUGUGUGGAGUGAUGCUGCAAGGGUAGUUUUCUGUCCAGUGUGCACGUGCUCAUCGGCUUUCUUCUCAGCUCUGAAAUGCUGCCAAGAGCAGCCAGCAAGGAGACAGAGUACCCUGACCUUGGAAAAAGGCUCUAAUCUGGUGUCUUUAUAGAGAUGAGGAAGCAGCUUUGACAAGUAGAAGUUAAGCCCUAGAUGGUCCCAGACUAUCUAGC